rnacentral:rRNA from 1 species
CCUACGGGGGACAGCAGUGAGGAAUAUUGGUCAAUGGACGAGAGUCUGAACCAGCCAAGUAGCGUGAAGGAUGACUGCCCUAUGGGUUGUAAACUUCUUUUAUAGGGGAAUAAAACGCUGUACGUGUGGGAUUUUGUAUGUACCAUUUGAAUCAGGAUCGGCUAACUCCGUGCCAGCAGCCGCGGUAAUUCGGGAGAUGCAAGCGUUAUCCGGGUUUAUUGGGUUUAAAGGGUGCGUAGGCUGUCAGGUAAGUCAGCGGUGAAAUGCCGCCGCUCAACGGGGUGAAGUGCCAUUGAUAGUGCCUGGCUGGAGUGCGGAUGCGGUAGGUGGAAUGUGUGGUGUAGCGGUGAAAUGCAUAGAUAUCACACAGAACACCGAUUGCGAAGGCAGCUCACGAAGCCGCGAUUGACGCUGAUGCACGAAAGCGUGGGUAUCAAACAGGAUUAGAUACCCGGGUAGUC